CAGGCCUAACACAUGCAAGUCGAGCGGAAACGAGUUAUCUGAACCUUCGGGGGACGAUAACGGCGUCGAGCGGCGGACGGGUGAGUAAUGCCUAGGAAAUUGCCCUGAUGUGGGGGAUAACCAUUGGAAACGAUGGCUAAUACCGCAUGAUGCCUACGGGCCAAAGAGGGGGACCUUCGGGCCUCUCGCGUCAGGAUGUGCCUAGGUGGGAUUAGCUAGUUGGUGAGGUAAGGGCUCACCAAGGCGACGAUCCCUAGCUGGUCUGAGAGGAUGAUCAGCCACACUGGAACUGAGACACGGUCCAGACUCCUACGGGAGGCAGCAGUGGGGAAUAUUGCACAAUGGGCGCAAGCCUGAUGCAGCCAUGCCGCGUGUAUGAAGAAGGCCUUCGGGUUGUAAAGUACUUUCAGCAGUGAGGAAGGUGGGUGUGUUAAUAGCACAUUCAUUUGACGUUAGCUGCAGAAGAAGCACCGGCUAACUCCGUGCCAGCAGCCGCGGUAAUACGGAGGGUGCGAGCGUUAAUCGGAAUUACUGGGCGUAAAGCGCAUGCAGGUGGUUUGUUAAGUCAGAUGUGAAAGCCCGGGGCUCAACCUCGGAAUAGCAUUUGAAACUGGCAGACUAGAGUACUGUAGAGGGGGGUAGAAUUUCA
rnacentral:rRNA from 1 species